GUCAAUUGCUGGUCCACCAUCGACCCACUUGGCCACCAGGGUGCACUGCUGGCUUGUGGUCAACCACUGGUCAACUGUUGGUCAAUUGUUUGUCAACCGUUGGUCGAUUGUUAGUCAACCAUCAACCCUCUUGGCCACCAGGGUGCACUGCUGGCUCGUGGUCAACUAUUGAUCAACUGUUGGUCAACUGUUGGUCGACCAUUGGUCAGUUGUUGGUCAACCAUCUGCCCUCUUGGCCACCGAGGCACACUGCCGGCUCGUGGUCAACUGUUGGGUAAACCAUUGGCCACCGGGACCCCCAACUCCUUCUCCGCAGAGCUCCCUUCCCGCAGCUCAGCCCUGACCUACUCUGCUGCACUCAUAGGGUCGGGGCAGUGCCGUUGCUGGCUGCAGUGGGGCUUUAUUUUCAUCCCUUCGUGCCGCCCAACCCCGCAGCAGAGGGACUCACGGAGGAAGCGCGCGGGCUCCGGCCCUGAACGUGCGGCUGCCAUGAGGCAGCAGCGCCGAGCUCCCUCCUUACGUCCCACCCCAGGAAUGAGGUGACUCAAGGCCUCUCCUCUCCCCGCCAGAACCCGUAACCGUAUCUCCAUACCACCAUCGAGCCCGGGGCCACUCGAGGAGGUUCUGUUACAUAAAGGAGCGCCUUAUGCCAACAACGCAGAGCUAUAUCCUCGCUUUAAAAACCACCUUUUAAAUUCUCAGCUGCUUUAAGCAGCCCGGGACGAGGGCCCUGUUUUUAUUUUCUGUUUGGCCCUGGCAGCCGCCGGCCCCGGCUCUUGGCUCCCGGCCCAGAAUCUGCUUUCGUUUUGGAGCGCGGUUGGCUCUCGGCGUCCUUUUUUUUGGGUUUAAAAUAGCGGCUUUGCCUCACCGUGGGGCGGGAGGGGAAGGAAGCAAAUGCCUGUGUCUCCCUCUCUCCAAACUGAUGAGGUGAGAGCUCGGUCCCUCCGCUCGCGGCAGUGCCGGUGACGGAGAUGACAGAGUGGGAGCCGGGAGGGGACGACCGCAAGGCUGCGGCGUCGGGGAGCGGUGGCAAUGGGCCCUCCUGGCGCUGCUGUUGGUGCCGAGUCUGUGCCACGGGGUGCCAGAUUUUGAUCGCUGCCACCUGCAGCAGCCCCAGCUCUGCCCUGCAUCCAGCAGCCCCGCGCAGCUCGUUAACCCGUGCCAUUAACAGCUCCUCCGGUUCUGUUUGCAAUGAGCCGGGUCCCUGGGGGUGGGGGUCAGUGGGAGAGCAGCCCCGGCAGCCCCCGGCUCGGCGCACGGCCAGCGGCUCACAGCGCUGUGGGGCUCCGCGCUGCU
rnacentral:lncRNA from 1 species